rnacentral:rRNA from 1 species
GACGAACGCUGGCGGCGUGCCUAAUACAUGCAAGUAGAACGCUGAAGGAGGAGCUUGCUUCUCUGGAUGAGUUGCGAACGGGUGAGUAACGCGUAGGUAACCUGCCUCUUAGCGGGGGAUAACUAUUGGAGACGAUAGCUAAUACCGCAUAAUAUUUACUAUUGCAUGAUAGUCAGUUGAAAGAUGCAACUGCACCACUACCAGAUGGACCUGCGUUGUAUUAGCUAGUUGGUGGUGUAACGGCUCACCAAGGCGACGAUACAUAGCCGACCUGAGAGGGUGAACGGCCACACUGGGACUGGGACACGGCCCCGACUCCUUAGGGAGGGAGCAGUAGGGAAUCUUCGGCAAAGGACCGAAGGCUGACCGAGCAACGCCGAGUGAGUGAAGGAGGGUUUCGGAUCGUAAAGAUCCGUUGUAAGAGAAGAAAGAGUGUGAGAGUGGAAAGCUCACACUGUGACGGUAUCUAACCAGAAAGGGACGGCUAACUACGUG